AUCUUCCGCAAUGGACGAAAGUCUGACGGAGCAACGCCGCGUGAGUGAUGAAGGCUUUCGGGUCGUAAAACUCUGUUGUUAGGGAAGAACAAGUGCUAGUUGAAUAAGCUGGCACCUUGACGGUACCUAACCAGAAAGCCACGGCUAACUACGUGCCAGCAGCCGCGGUAAUACGUAGGUGGCAAGCGUUAUCCGGAAUUAUUGGGCGUAAAGCGCGGGCAGGGGGUUUCUUUAGUCUGAUGUGAAGGCCCACGGCUCAACCGUGGAGGGUCAUUGGAAACGAGGAGACCUGAGUGGAGAAGAGGAAAGUGGAAUUCCAUGUGUAGCGGUGAAAUGCGUAGAGAUAUGGAGGAACACCAGUGGCGAAGGCGACUUUCUGGUCUGUAACUGACACUGAGGCGCGAAAGCGUGGGGAGCAAACAG
rnacentral:rRNA from 1 species